CUGGUUCCACUUGGCAAGAUGAAGGGAUCUCUUUGUGAAAUAGGGGAAUAAGUCAUAGGAAUUGAGUAGACUAAGGAUUUGACAAGGACAAAGAACAGGGUAAAAGGAUCAUAAGAUGGAAAGAUGGAAUGGUGAAAUGUUAUGAUCAGAUAAAGAAAUGUCAGAGUUCAUCAAAGUGAAACACCUGCAGAUGAUGGCAAAAUCAAGGGUAUAAUCAUCUCUUUAUGUAGCUGAGGUAAAAUUGCAUAGUUGAUCAUGAGAACCAAGCAGAAUGGGGUAUUGGGUAGUUGGUGUAGUUGAGGGAAUAACAACAUAGAUUGACAAGACAGACACAGGCACUGAACUCUUUGAGAAAGGAAGGAAAAUGUCUUAUGGUUUGGUAGAAAAUAGUAACCAGAAUUCGAAUUGAGUGAUAAAUUUGGGUUGAAUGAAAUGUUAAAGGGAGAGAAAUUACUAAACAAGGUGGUAGAGAAAGCAUUUGGAAGUGACAACAAGAAGCAGGGAUUAUUUCAACUCCUCUGCUAUGAUCAGUGAAUCACGGGGGAAUGAGUAAAAAUGCAACCAAUACUGGAAAGGAGGGCUAGGAAUAUAGUGUCAACAGGAUGGAACUAAAUCUCACUGGGUGUGGGUUUUGCUCUGCCUACAAUUCCAAGCAGAAGGAGGAAUUUUGCUCUAAGACAUUCUCCCUGGACAGUCAGAAUUUUCGUGGAGAAAAUCUUUGGCAUGCAGGUAGAGGGUUUACUUGGAAGAAACUAAUUUCCCUGAGUCCAGUUAUCAUCUGGCAGUGGUCCAUAUACCAGGAUUCCUAUUGGCUAAGGUGAAAUGAGGGUUGGAGGAGGAAGCACCCUCUCUUCCUUUGCCAGAUAAAAUGUCAGUUCACUUGCCCCCAAAUAAAGACAGAAAUGAAAAGUAAUAAGGUCAUCUCUACAUCAGCCAAUUAUCACAAAAGAUUUUUCUUUUUUUUUUUUUGUAAUCAAUAACCUUGACAAAAUAUGUCCUGGAUCAGGAGUAUUUCAGAAAGCCUGGGCUUCACUUGCAACUGAAUAUUCAAUUUGAUAUAAAUAAACAAAUAUUCAUUAAC